rnacentral:rRNA from 1 species
AGCGAAAGCGAGUCUGAAUAGGGCGAAUGAGUAUGUAGUCGUAGACCCGAAACCAUGUGAUCUACCCAUGGCCAGGUUGAAGGUGUGGUAAAACGCACUGGAGGACCGAACCCACGUACGUUGAAAAGUGCGGGGAUGAGCUGUGGGUAGCGGAGAAAUUCCAAACGAACUUGGAGAUAGCUGGUUCUCUCCGAAAUAGCUUUAGGGCUAGCCUCGGAAUUAAGAAUGAUGGAGGUAGAGCACUGUUUGGACUAGGGGCCCAUCUCGGGUUACCGAAUUCAGAUAAACUCCGAAUGCCAUUCAUUUAUAUCCGGGAGUCAGACUGCGAGUGAUAAGAUCCGUAGUCGAAAGGGAAACAGCCCAGACCACCAGCUAAGGUCCCAAAAUAUAUGUUAAGUGGAAAAGGAUGUGGGGUUGCACAGACAACUAGGAUGUUGGCUCAGAAGCAGCCACCAUUUAAAGAGUGCGUAAUAGCUCACUAGUCGAGUGACCCUGCGCCGAAAAUGUACCGGGGCUAAACAUAUUACCGAAGCUGUGGAUUACACCUCUGGUGUAAUGGUAGGAGAGCGUUCUAAGGGCGUUGAAGGUCGAUCGUGAGGACGGCUGGAGCGCUUAGAAGUGAGAAUGCCGGUAUGAGUAGCGAAAGACGGGUGAGAAUCCCGUCCACCGUAUGACUAAGGUUUCCUGGGGAAGGCUCGUCCGCCCAGGGUUAGUCGGGACCUAAGCCGAGGCCGAUAGGCGUAGGCGAUGGACAACAGGUUGAUAUUCCUGUACCAGUUGUUUUUGUUUGAGCAAUGGAGGGACGCAGGAGGCUAAGGAAUGCAUGCGACUGGAAGUGCAUGUCCAAGCAGUAAGUCUUGAGUAGAGUCAAAUGCUUUACUCUAUACGGACAAGCUGUGAUGGGGAGGGAAAUAAUAGUACCGAAGUUCCUGAUGUCACACUGUCAAGAAAAGCUUCUAGUGAGAAAACAACUGCCCGUACCGUAAACCGACACAGGUAGUCGAGGAGAGUAUCCUAAGGUGAGCGAGCGAACUCUCGUUAAGGAACUCGGCAAAAUGACCCCGUAACUUCGGGAGAAGGGGUGCUGACUUCGGUCAGCCGCAGUGAAUAGGCCCAAGCGACUGUUUAUCAAAAACACAGGUCUCUGCAAAAUCGAAAGAUGAAGUAUAGGGGCUGACGCCUGCCCGGUGCUGGAAGGUUAAGAGGAUGGGUUAGCUUCGGCGAAGCUCAGAAUUGAAGCCCCAGUAAACGGCGGCCGUAACUAUAACGGUCCUAAGGUAGCGAAAUUCCUUGUCGGGUAAGUUCCGACCCGCACGAAAGGCGUAACGAUUUGGGCACUGUCUCAACGAGAGACUCGGUGAAAUUUUAGUACCUGUGAAGAUGCAGGUUACCCGCGACAGGACGGAAAGACCCCAUGGAGCUUUACUGUAGCUUGAUAUUGAGUGUUUGUACCACAUGUACAGGAUAGGUAGGAGCCGAUGAACCCGGAACGCUAGUUUCGGUGGAGGCGCUGGUGGGAUACUACCCUUGUGUUAUGAACCCUCUAACCCGCACCACUUAUCGUGGUGGGAGACAGUGUCAGGUGGGCAGUUUGACUGGGGCGGUCGCCUCCUAAAGAGUAACGGAGGCGCCCAAAGGUUCCCUCAGAAUGGUUGGAAAUCAUUCGCAGAGUGUAAAGGCAGAAGGGAGCUUGACUGCGAGACUUACAAGUCGAGCAGGGACGAAAGUCGGGCUUAGUGAUCCGGUGGUUCCGCAUGGAAGGGCCAUCGCUCAACGGAUAAAAGCUACCCUGGGGAUAACAGGCUUAUCUCCCCCAAGAGUCCACAUCGACGGGGAGGUUUGGCACCUCGAUGUCGGCUCGUCGCAUCCUGGGGCUGUAGUCGGUCCCAAGGGUUGGGCUGUUCGCCCAUUAAAGCGGCACGCGAGCUGGGUUCAGAACGUCGUGAGACAGUUCGGUCCCUAUCCGUCGCGGGCGUUGGAAAUUUGAGAGGAGCUGUCCUUAGUACGAGAGGACCGGGAUGGACUUACCGCUGGUGUACCAGUUGUUCUGCCAAGGGCAUUGCUGGGUAGCUAUGUAGGGAAGGGAUAAACGCUGAAAGCAUCUAAGUGUGAAGCCCACCUCAAGAUGAGAUUUCCCAUUUCUUUAAGAAAGUAAGACCCCUGAGAGAUGAUCAGGUAGAUAGGUUGGAAGUGGAAGUGCAGUGAUGUACGGAGCGGACCAAUACUAAUCGGUCGAGGACUUAACCAA